GAGGGGGGAGGUCAGUGGUAGAGUGCUUGUCUGGCAUGUGUGAGGCCCUGGGUUUGAUCCCCAACAGCCCCCUCC
rnacentral:tRNA from 1 species